UGGAGGGCACCAGUCACCCAGGUGCACUCACUGCCACUCCAGCCUGAAGAAGAAUCUUCAGCAGUGUCAUGGGAGCUGUUCUGUCCUGACUUUCUUUGCAGAUGAACCUGAUGAUGAGGAUGAUCUGGAUUCCCAAUCCAUAUCAGUUACUGAACCUGAUGAUGAGGAAGAUUAUGAGAGUGUGUCUGCAGCAAGGAUUCUCCCAGAUCCUGAGCUGGAUUCUGCAAGCAAGCCUGGCUCACAUCACUGGGAUGCAGCUGGUACCACCAAACAAGCUAACAAUAUCUGGAGAAGCAUGAGAAGAGUUUUUUGCUGGGGAACACAGUGUUUGAUUAAGUUAAUGGCCAUUGUGGCUGGUGGAGCACUUUUCCUGAUGAUGUGCUGUGCCGGAAUCUGGUAUUGCCAGAAGAGAAAACGGAGUGCCUCUGCAGCUUCAGAAGACUGGCGAAAGACUUUGGUCACUGAGAAGCUGACCUGUCAUCCCCGUUCUUCACAUCUGUCCCCAUGUGCCAAGUUGCAUCUGCAUCCCCGUCUUGAGGGCUUCUCAAGACCCACACCUCCCAAGCGAGACCCUCUGCCCCUGAGCCCCCUGGCCCUGGUCCCUGACCAGGACUGAAAUUGGGCAGCCCCUGUGCA